GAUGAACGCUGGCGGCGUGCCUAACACAUGCAAGUCGAGCGAACAGACGCGGCGUUUGCUCUUCUGACGUUAGCGGCGGACGGGUGAGUAACACGUGGAUAACCCUUCUCUCUGACUUGGAUAACUUAGGGAAACCGGAGUUCAUACCGGAUAAUCUAUUGAACUGCAUGGUUCUAUAGUGAAAGUCGGUUUUGCUGUCACUUAUAGAUGGAUCCGCGCCGCAUUAGCUAGUUGGUACGGUAACGGCCUACCAAGGCAACGAUUCGUAGCCGACCGGAGAGAGGGGUCGGCCACCCGAGAGCGGAGACACGCUCCAUGCGCCUACGAGAGGCAGCAGAAGGGUAUCGGCGGCAGUAGUCGAGAGCCUUACGCAGCAGCGCGGCGUGAGUGAUGAAGGUCUUCGGAGCGUAAUACUCGGCUACUGGGGAAGAACAAAUGUGUAAGGAGCUGUGCACGUCUUGACGGUACCUGAUCAGGAAGCCACGGCUAACUACGUG
rnacentral:rRNA from 1 species